UACGUAGGGGGCAAGCGUUGUCCGGAUUCAUUGGGCGUAAAGCGCGCGCAGGCGGUUGCGAGAGCCCGGCGUGAAAGCCCCCAGCUCAACUGGGGGAGGCCGUCGGAGACCUCGUGACUUGAGGCCGGUAGGGGAGUGUGGAAUUCCGGGUGUAGUGGUGAAAUGCGUAGAGAGUCCGGAGGAACACCAGUGGCGAAGGCGGCCGGCCCUGGACCUGGACCCUGACGCCUGGAG
rnacentral:rRNA from 1 species